UCUACGGGAGGCUGCAGUGGGGAAUAUUGCGCAAUGGGGGAAACCCUGACGCAGCGAUGCCGCGUGGGUGAAGAAGGCCUUCGGGUCGUAAAGCCCUGUCAAGUGGGAAGAACAGCGGCGGGACGAAUAAUCCCGUCGUGUGACGGUACCACUGAAGGAAGCACCGGCUAACUCCGUGCCAGCAGCCGCGGUAAGACGGAGGGUGCAAGCGUUAUUCGGAUUUAUUGGGCGUAANGAGCGUGUAGGCGGCCGGUCAAGCCAGAUGUGAAAGCCCAGGGCUUAACCCUGGAAGUGCAUUUGGAACUGGUUGGCUUGAGUUCGGGAGAGGGAAGUGGAAUUCCGGGUGUAGAGGUGAAAUUCGUAGAUAUCCGGAGGAACACCGGUGGCGAAGGCGACUUCCUGGACCGAAACUGACGCUGAGACGCGAAAGCGUGGGGAGCAAACAGGAUUAGAUACCCCUGUANUC
rnacentral:rRNA from 1 species